rnacentral:tRNA from 1 species
UAAAGUAUAGACUAAAAAAGUCAAUAAAUUCAUAAUUUAUAAAUAGAUUUUAUUCUUUCUUUAA